UACGGGGGGAGCAAGCGUUGUUCGGAUUUACUGGGCGUAAAGGGCGCGUAGGCGGCCACCGCAAGUCGACUGCGAAAUCUCCGGGCUUAACCCGGAAAGGUCAGCCGAUACUGCGGGGCUAGAGUGCAGAAGGGGCAACUGGAAUUCUCGGUGUAGCGGUGAAAUGCGUAGAUAUCGAGAGGAACACCUGCGGCGAAGGCGGGUUGCUGGGCUGACACUGACGCUGAGGCGCGAAAGCUAGGGGAGCGAACGGG
rnacentral:rRNA from 1 species